UACGUAGGGUGCGAGCGUUAAUCGGAAUUACUGGGCGUAAAGGGCGCGUAGGCGGCCAUCUAAGUCAGACGUGAAAUCCCCCGGCUUAACCUGGGAACUGCGUCUGAUACUGGACGGCUUGAGUAUGGGAGAGGGAUGUAGAAUUCCAGGUGUAGCGGUGAAAUGCGUAGAUAUCUGGAGGAAUACCGGUGGCGAAGGCGGCAUCCUGGACCAUUACUGAACGCUGAGGCGGCGAAAGCUA
rnacentral:rRNA from 1 species